rnacentral:rRNA from 1 species
AACGAACGCUGGCGGCAUGCCUAACACAUGCAAGUCGAACGAAGCCUUCGGGCUUAGUGGCGCACGGGUGCGUAACGCGUGGGAAUCUGCCCUUUGGUUCGGAAUAACAGUUGGAAACGACUGCUAAUACCGGAUGAUGACUUCGGUCCAAAGAUUUAUCGCCCAGGGAUGAGCCCGCGUCGGAUUAGCUAGUUGGUGAGGUAAAAGCUCACCAAGGCGACGAUCCGUAGCUGGUCUGAGAGGAUGAUCAGCCACACUGGGACUGAGACACGGCCCAGACUCCUACGGGAGGCAGCAGUGGGGAAUAUUGGACAAUGGGCGAAAGCCUGAUCCAGCAAUGCCGCGUGAGUGAUGAAGGCCUUAGGGUUGUAAAGCUCUUUUACCCGGGAAGAUAAUGACUGUACCGGGAGAAUAAGCCCCGGCUAACUCCGUGCCAGCAGCCGCCGCCG